rnacentral:rRNA from 1 species
AUUGAACGCUGGCGGCAGGCUUAACACAUGCAAGUCGAGCGGGGACUUCGGUCCUAGCGGCGAACGGGUGAGGAAUGCUUGGGAAUCUGCCCAGUAGCGGGGGAUAACGUUUCGAAAGGAACGCUAAUACCGCAUACGCCCUACGGGGGAAAGGGGGGGAUCUGCGGACCUCUCACUACUGGAUGAGCCCAAGUCGGAUUAGCGAGUUGGUGGGGUAAAGGCCUACCAAGGCGACGAUCCGUAGCUGGUCUGAGAGGAUGAUCAGCCACACUGGAACUGAGACACGGUCCAGACUCCUACGGGAGGCAGCAGUGGGGAAUAUUGGACAAUGGGCGAAAGCCUGAUCCAGCCAUGCCGCGUGUGUGAAGAAGGCCUUCGGGUUGUAAAGCACUUUAAGCGAGGAGGAAUGGCUGAGGGUUAAUAACCUUCAGCAGUGACGUUACUCGCAGAAUAAGCACCGGCUAACUCUGUGCCAGCCGCCGCCGUAAAAC